rnacentral:rRNA from 1 species
UACAGAGGGUGCAAGCGUUGUUCGGAAUUAUUGGGCGUAAAGGGCGCGUAGGCGGUGCGGUAAGUCUGCAGUGAAAUCUCUGGGCUCAACUCAGAGUCUGCUGUAGAAACUGCCGUGCUUGAGUGUGGGAGAGGUGAGUGGAAUUCCCGGCGUAGCGGUGAAAUGCGCAGAUAUCGGGAAGAACACCAGUGGCGAAGGCGACUUCCUGGCCUGUUCUUGACGCUGAGGCGCGAAAGCUAGGGGAGCAAACGGG